UACAGAGGGGGCAAGCGUUGUUCGGAAUUACUGGGCGUAAAGGGCGCGUAGGCGGCCUGCUAAGUCGAACGUGAAAUCCCUGGGCUCAACCCAGGAACUGCGUCCGAUACUGGUUGGCUUGAAUCCGGGAGAGGGAUGUGGAAUUCCAGGUGUAGCGGUGAAAUGCGUAGAUAUUUGGAGGAACACCGGUGGCGAAGGCGACAUCCUGGACCGGUAUUGACGCUGAGGCGCGAAAGCCAGGGGAGCAAACGGG
rnacentral:rRNA from 1 species